UGGGGAAUAUUGGGCAAUGGGCGAAAGCCUGAUCCAGCCAUGCCGCGUGUGUGAAGAAGGUCUUCGGAUUGUAAAGCACUUUAAGUUGGGAGGAAGGGCAGUUACCUAAUACGUGAUUGUUUUGACGUUACCGACAGAAUAAGCACCGGCUAACUCUGUGCCAGCAGCCGCGGUAAUACAGAGGGUGCAAGCGUUAAUCGGAAUUACUGGGCGUAAAGCGCGCGUAGGUGGUUUGUUAAGUUGGAUGUGAAAUCCCCGGGCUCAACCUGGGAACUGCAUUCAAAACUGACAAGCUAGAGUAUGGUAGAGGGUGGUGGAAUUUCCUGUGUAGCGGUGAAAUGCGUAGAUAUAGGAAGGAACACCAGUGGCGAAGGCGACCACCUGGACUGAUACUGACACUGAGGUGCGAAAGCGUGGGGAGCAAACAGGAUUAGAUACCCCCGUAGUCCCUGAGCGGGCUGGCAAGGCGCAU
rnacentral:rRNA from 1 species